rnacentral:rRNA from 1 species
CUGGUUGAUCCUGCCAGACCCGACUGCUAUCGGAUUGGGACUAAGCCAUGCGAGUCAACUCCGCAAGGGGUGGCGCACGGCUCAGUAACACGUAGUCAACCUACCCUGGGGACGGGGAUAACCUCGGGAAACUGAGGCUAAACCCCGAUGGGCCAUGGCUCCUGGAAUGGGCUAUGGCUGAAAUCUACAUGGCCCCAGGAUGGGACUGCGGCCGAUCAGGUUGUUGGUGGGGUAAUGGCCCACCAAGCCUAUAACCGGUGCGGGCUCUGAGAGGAGGAGCCCGGAGAUGGGCACUGAGACAAGGGCCCAGGUCCUAUGGGGCGCAGCAGGCGCGAAACCUCCGCAAUGGGCGAAAGCCCGACGGGGUCAGUCCGAGUGGUUCCCGCUGAGGGAACCUUUUGCCAGCUGUAAACAGGCUGGCGAAUAAGGGGUGGGCAAGUUUGGUGUCAGCCGCCGCGGUAAUACCAGCACCCCGAGUGGUCGGGACGAUUAUUGGGCCUAAAGCAUCCGUAGCCGGCCCAGUAAGUCCUCCGUUAAAUCCAACGGCUCAACCGUUGGGCUGCGGGGGAUACUGCUGGGCUAGGGGACGGGAGAGGCGAGGGGUAUUCCCGGGGUAGGGGUAAAAUCCAGUGAUCCCGGGAGGACCACCAGUGGCGAAGGCGCCUCGCUAGAACGUGCCCGACGGUGAGGGAUGAAAGCUGGGGGAGCGAACCGGAUUAGAUACCCGGGUAGUCCCAGCCGUAAACGAUGUAGGCUCGGUGUUGGGCUGCCUCAGUGGCAGCCCAGUGCCGCAGGGAAGCCGUUAAGCCUACCGCCUGGGGAGUACGGCCGCAAGGCUGAAACUUAAAGGAAUUGGCGGGGGAGCACCAC